rnacentral:tRNA from 1 species
GUGAAUAUGGCGGAACAGGAUAGUCGCGCUAAAUUUAGGAUUUAGUUUUUAAGAGUUCGAGCCUCUUUAUUUACA